GGGGGAAAGGGUUCCUUCCCGUCCUAGGCCGACUUAUCUGUCCUUGAGUGCACACCACCACAGGAACCAAGCAAUUCAGACUUGGGGAUGGCACCGGAGGAUCUCAGAAAUGACUGUCUCCCGAGCUAGCAAGUGAAUCAAGUCCGACAGAACGUGUGGAAUGUGGCUCUGAACCGCCUCCUUAGGAGCCCUGCUCCCUUGAUGGGCAGAACCACAGCCUGGGAAAGCAGUCCUCUGUGCCUCUCCUUUGCGAGCAAAGCCAUAAACCUCUUUUUCCUUUUUCUCAAAACCGUGUCCUUACCGUAUUGGCAUCAGGAGCCAGGACCAAACUUUUGAUGAAGCUCCAUUCCAGAUGACACGACUCACACUGUGCUUUGUGUCUGCCCCUUUGCUGAAACGCUGGAGUGGGAGAUCCUUGCCACCGACACCCUGGCCCCCUCCCAGCCAGGUGGGCAGCUGCCCUUUGUCUAGGUGUCCAGUCUCCCCUGGUCUUUAUCGGAAAGGCCAGGAAGACCAGGUGGAGCCAGAGGAAGCGCCAGAAGAAACUGGGUGGGAAAUCCUUGCACAACAAAACAGGUUUCACCACAAAACCCAGUGGCCACGUGGCGCCGAACCCCCUGCGUGCAGGGAGACCCCCGUCUGGAGACGCUUCCCUGCACUUCUGUGAGUAUGAGUCCCUCAAGACCCACAUGCUGAAUCCUGAACAUGUGGUCCUGAAGUGGACCUGGUGGGCGGUGCGCGUGACCUGGCCGAACACAGAGCUGGACAGAACACAGGGCAACCGCUCAGCUAAAAUGAGACUGUUGGCGUGGGCUCAGCAGUCCUGCUGGCGUCCUCUCCCAGGGGCAUCUGGACACAGGGACACAGCCGCCUCCAUCCUGGACUGCAGCACAAGAAGGCAGGGCUCUGCUCUCCACGCAACCAGGUCCAGAGUGCCGUGCCCUCAGCUCCAGCGUGCUGACACUGCGUCCCUCUCCCACCCACACUGACCAUGGCUUCCCUGACCUGGAUAGGCUGGACUGGGUGCUGCAGGUGGGGGAGCCUAGAGAUCUAUCAGCAAGGAGGACAUGAGCAGCGGCCAGCACGUGGGCCUGGGUUCAGGAGGCAGGCGUGGCCUGGCCACCUGUCCACUGGCUCAGCUGGAGCCAGCCUCCACCCUGCCUCUCUGCACCACAUCUCCAGCACAAUCUGCACCCCACAUCCAGGGUGUGUCAGGGUCCAAAGAGCAGGACUGCAGGACAGGGGCUGGGGGACCUGGGGCGGGAUCCACGGCCACGGCUCUCUGCCCAGAAUCCAAGGGCUUGCCUCUAAACUGCCCUAGAGAGCCGUGGGGUGGACACAGUGGUGGUCAGCUGGCAGGGGUCAUAUCCACUAGAGAGCCAUGGGGUGGACACUGUGGUGGCCAGCCCACAGGUCAGAACCACCUAGAGAGCCAUGGGAUGGACGCGGUGGUGGCCAGCCGGCAGGGGUCAGAUCCACCUAGAGAGCCGUGGGGUGGAUGCAGUGGUGGCCAGCCCGCAGGGGUCAGAUCCACCUAGAGAGCCGUGGGGUGGACGCGGUGGUGGCCAGCCGGCAGGGGUCAGAUCCACCUAGAGGGCUGUGGGGUGGACGUAGUGGUGGCCAGCUGGCAGGGGUCAUAUCCACUAGAGAGCCAUGGGGUGGACACAGUGGUGGCCAGCCCACAGGUCAGAACCACCUAGAGAGCCAUGGGAUGGACGCGGUGGUGGCCAGCCCAAAGGGGUCAGAUCCACCUAGAGAGCCGUGGGGUGGACGCGGUGGUGGCCAGCCCAAAGGGGUCAGAUCCACCUAGAGAGCCGUGGGGUGGACGCCGUGGUGGCCAGCCGGCAGGGGUCAGAUCCACCUAGAGAGCCGUGGGGUGGACGCCGUGAUGGCCAGCCGGCAGGGGUCAGAUCCACCUAGAGAGCCGUGGGGUGGACGCCGUGAUGGCCAGCCGGCAGGGGUCAGAUCCAACUAGAGAGCCGUGGGGUGGACGUAGUGGUGGCCAGCCGGCAGGGGUCAUGUCCACUAGAGAGCCGUGGGGUGGACGCCGUGGUGGCCAGCCGGCAGGGGUCAUGUCCACUAGAGAGCCGUGGGGUGGACGCCGUGGUGGCCAGCCGGCAGGUAUGAAGGAGGGAGGCAAGUCUGGUGAGCAAGCCUCAGCACCUGCUUCUCUGAGCUGGAGGUGGCUAUGAUUCACAGAUGGCCGCCCAGCCUGGCCCUGGGGACAGUGCAGCAGGAAGUCUCCUGUGCCAGGUUGGGAGGGAAACAGGCUCUGGCUGUUGCUCAACAGUGCCCACCUGGGCUGCCACAGAGGACAGUGGCUCUGACGCGGCCACAAGGACACUGCUGUUCCUAGGUAGUGGCCCCCUCCUGUUGGGACUAGUGCAGAGGGCAGAGGAAGGAGCCGCACACUGGGGCCUGGCUCUGGGCGGCUGGCUAUGUCUCACAGGACUCUCACAGGCUGACUCCCCCUUGUCCACAGGGGAAUGCCACCUAUCUGGGGAGUGGUCGUCCAACCAUGCAAGAGCCCUGGGGUGUCUGCUCAGGAACAGCCAGGUUUGACGCCUGCAUGAGGCUGGGGCCCAUCUGAGAGCCAAGGGAAGCCUGUGUGGGCCCGGCAAAGCCACCAAGUGCCUCUGCUAUGCCACCUGUCCAUUCUGGUCCCUGGGCUGGACUCAAAUGCCUGCACUUGCUUCCCAGGGUCACCUAACAGUGACUCUGUUGAUGAAUGACAAACAUUCAAACAACCACCAUCAAAGACUCCUCUGGACGCAGACCUCUGGAAGUCUCCUGAGCUACAAUAGUGGAUUUAAAGGUGCGACUUUGUGGGCCUGGGGCCUGGGGCCCAAGGGAACUCAGGGCCAGUGGGGCCCCUCCUAAGUGGCCCCAAAGGAUGACGGUGGUUUGCAGAUCCUCUUGAUGUGAAGAGCCUCCAUCUGGAGUGGCCCAUGCCUUCUGCUCUGCUGGGUCCCAGUGACUGGGGCUCCCCUUGGAAUGUGGCCGUGCUUGGAGGCAGGACCGGUGCAGGCGCGACUGCUCAGGUAAGAUGAGAUGCUGGAGCAGGGAGCCCCGUGGCGACCCGGAACACCUGAUGGAGGCGACCUCUGCGGAUUUCCUCACUGUGUGCAGAAGAGAGGAGGUGGGAGGUGGGGGCUGAGCCCAGCUACCUGCAGGGCAGCCAGGCAGAUGUGACAGGACCGUCAUGCUGAGUCACUGCCCGCCCAGGUUGAGACAGGGAUCAGGAUGGGAAGAGGAAUACGGAACCUCAAGCCACUGAAGUGCAGAAUCAAGCCAGAGAUGCAGGAAGCGCACUUGUCGACGUGGCCCCACUGGGCCCCACCUGGGCCCAUGCCCUUGUAAGGGGAGGGAGAUGGCAAGUGCAGGGAAAGGGGGCGUGGAGCUGUGCGUCCUCCCCGGCUCCCCUGGACGUCCUCCUACAAGUAUCGGACACCAGAACUCCUGAGUGGUUAGACACGAUUCUUUAGAAGCCAGUGGUGGGGCCGACUCUGGCAUUAUGCACUGUCCCUGUUGGGGCUGACUGCUCCCGAGGUUCACGGUGAACCAGGACCGCAGGAUGUGGCUGUAUUUGGAGAUGGUCCUCAAUCAGCAACAAAGGUACCAUGAGGUUGCUUGGGCUGGCCCUGACACCAUCUGAACUGUCCUCGAGAAAAGGGACAUUGGACAAGAGACACAUGCACAUGCAGCGUGGCCCUCAGCCCUGCCCUUCGGGACCCUGUCUGGCCUCCUCCAGGACAGAGGACACACUCCUGGGGUUUGAGCCACCCCUGGGUGGGACCUGGUUCCUGCCAAGCUGCACAGUCCCCACCUGGACUAUUCUGGUCACCAUGGCCACAUCACGCAUGACCGCUGUGGCCUGAAAGCUCUGGGGGACCUUUCCACAGACCCAGGGAGAAGAACAUGGCAGUUCUUCAGAACGGCCAGCCCAGCAGGGACUGUCAGGUCCCUCCCGUCCGGGAUGCAGCCAGACCAAAGGCACACAGGGUCACUUCCUACUGGGACAGAGGGAAUCGACACCUGGUCGCCAGCCACACAAGUGCCCUGGUGCCGGGCGCAGGUCCCUAGGAUGCUGCCGGGCCUGGGGGUGGGGGCGGAGGGGGUGCAGAGCCGGGGGCUGCUCCCUGGGUGGUGCCCUCUUGGUGCCUGCAUUGGCCUGGCCCCAGAAGCUGGUCACACAGUGUCUGUGUGUGACAAGCCCAUGAGAGCUCUGACAAGAGAGCCCUGGCUUAGGGUGGACAUCCCCUGCAGGACGUCGAGAUCAAAGGUGCAUUUCUCCUAACACUUGCUCCUGUUGGCACCAGUGCCGAGUGCCGUCCCGAGCCAGGAACAGAGCUCAGCCGGGCCACUGGCUGGCUCCGGACAGGGCAGAGCCAGCAAACCUGCCCUGGCUCUGGGUCCACACUUCCCAGGAGCCGCUGCUUCAGGCCUCUGACCUUCCAGGACAUGCCCGACCUCGGCUCCCAGGCCUGCGUGGGUGUCACGUUGGGACGCUGGUCUCUGAGGUCCAGUUCAGGCUGAGGCUGGGCCUGGCCCAAGCUCCUCCAUCCGGGGCCCACUGGCACUUUUCCCCCAUGCCUUGGGGGCAUGGGUGGCACACUGUGGGACCAGCCAGGUGGAGGUGAGCCGGAGCCCUGAGCCCCAAGCCCCCCUAACCAAUGGCUAGAAGGUGGUGCCUCCAGUCCUGUCCAGCCGACUCCCACUGCUGCCCUGUGGGUGGACAAGGAGCUGACCUCCUAGGCAGCCAUCUGGGUCUUAGCUGACCUGUUACCUGAGUUAGUCAGGUGUCCUGGAGGCACCCCCCUGCCUCAGGAAGACGCGCCUUCGGGGUGCAGACUAGGCCGACGAGGCCUCGCACUGACAAGGGGGACACUACCUGAGGUCCAGCCCACGGGGAGAGCUGGUCCCAGGGCACUAAGAUGCUCAAGCAGCGCCGCAGGGGCUGGGCACAGGGUCUGCUGCAGGAAGUGCUCGGUGGACAGCGGCCAGCGUCAGAGGGCCUGGCCCUGGUGCCUCUGAGGCAGCUCGGGUGCGUGUGUGCGGCCUGAUCCACAUCUGCCAGUGGCCUCUGUUUGCAAGGCUGGAUGCGGCUCAGUGGUAUUGUCUGAGUUGGAGCCAGUGAACUAGCCAGCUGGGGCUGCGACCCCUGUCCUGCUGUCACCACGGCCGCCUGGCCACUGAGGCCUCUGGGUCCUCCGGGAGUCUUUGGUGAGGAGCAGAGGAGGCGAGGGGACGACUAACCUAACAAAGGCCCCAGAGCACAGCCUGCACCUCCUCUCCACAGCCGCCCACCCACUGCCCCCUGGUGCUGAGACCCACAGACGCCCGGCCCCUGGCUGUGCGGCCUCCGGCCUCCGACAGGCGGGCUCUCAGCCUCAGAACAAGGCCCGUCCUGUCUGCGCGAGUGCCGCACAGCAGACGCUGCCAGGGAGAGUCAAGUGCUCCUGUUUGGGGUUUCCUUUCCUUUCAUUUGAGCUCGGGCGUGACGUCAGGUUACGACAGAGGGAAAGCGUCUGUCAAGCUGGGGCCUGACGAGUGCCCGACCCCACCCCGCCUGCUGCGCCUGCUGCGCCUGCUGCGCCUGCGUUUUCAUGUACUGAGGUUCACGACUAGGAAAUGAUAUUGUCUCCACGUGCAAGCACAUGAGUUUAUCAGCACACACGUGCACACAGGUGUACAAACACAUGCGAACACAAAGUUAUCCACAGGCAUACCCAUAUGUAUACGCAUACACAUGCGUACGCGUAUCACACAAGCACACGCAUACGCAUACGCAUACAGGUGCACAUGCUCACACACCCAUGUGUUUACACAGUAUGCGUGUACACACGCAUGCACAUGUGGACACACAGGGUGCGACAACCCACUGCCCUUUUAAUCCCACAACGACAGUAAUGAGGCUUCAGUGAUGCACAUCUGACAGGGGAGGCUGCACCUUUCCCAGGCACUGCCAGCCAGGCAAGGUCGAGGUCUGCAUCUGGGCCACUGGCCUGGGCACAGCCCAGCACCUUCUCUGCACCCAGAGCCACCCAGCCUCCGCUGUGUGUGGGGACACUGGAGAAGUAAAUGGUGACUGGGAUCCAAACUGAGACACAGCACCAGAGGUCAGGGGUAGAACAGUGAACCGUGUUCACGUAAAUCACAUGACUACAAGCCAACGCCUCGGCAGACAGACAGGAAAGCCACGCAUCUGUGCCCACGUGGGCAAAGAUGGAGGAGAAGCCCAUGAGCAGAGGGCUGAGAGGUGCCCAGGGCCCGGGGUGCUCGUGUCUGUGGAGGCAAGACCAGGACAGAGCACCAUGCCCCCGAGCCAUAGCUGGUCAGCAAGGGCCAUGACGUGGGAAAGGCAGAUGGGCGCCCAAGGAAGGGGUUCAGCUGCACCCUGGAAAACCCUGCUAAAUGGGUUCAGUGCACAACUUGCCUCGCCAACCAGAUGCACCCUGCGGUGGAUCCAGGCCCAGCCACUCAGCCGAGCUAGGACCUGCAGGCAGUCCCAGGCCCGGGGUGGGUUUUCCUGUCUUAGCCUGUUCCCUGAUGGGACAUCUUGAGGGAACUUAAGCUGUGAGGCUGGAUCUUUUUGAAGAAAAAAUACUUUUAGUUGUAGAGGCACACAGUACCUCUAUUUUGUUUAUUAUAUGUGUUGCUGAAGAGUGAACCCAGUUCCUCACACAUGCUAGGCAAGUGCCCCUCCCCAGCCCCCGCCCCAGCCCGUGAUGCUGGAUCUUUGCAGGCCAUGUCUGCAGGACGGAGGCAGGAAGGGGUCCUGCCUCCAGGAAGCCAGCCUGCGAAUUUCCAGAGAAGGGCUGUCACAUUCUGUGCUCUCCCUGGUUUAACUUAGUCACUUAAACAACUGGCUCGUUUUUCAAGGGAAGAAACUAUGGCGCACAGAGAAAGUCUGAAGAAAGACUUCAUUUCCAGGCAAGAACUGCCUAGCCAAAGAGCCCCAAGUCCUGGAGAUGAAGGGUGAACAUGUCCAUUCAUCUACCCAACCACUUAUGCAUCCAUUCAUCCACCAGUCUACACAUCCACCCACCCAUCCCUCUGUCCACCCACUGAUGUGUUCAUCCGUCCACCCAUCCAUCCAUCCGUGGGUGAAGUGGGAAGGACUGUAGUUCACAAUCUGUAAGAACUGUGUGUCUAAGCUAGAGGAAGUCGGAGCUUCCAUUUUUUUAGGCCAAGAUGGGUUUUAUUUGCAUUAUCAAGUUUUUCUACGGUGUUUUCGGUUGCCUCUACACUGCUGGUGCCCCAAGUGUGCCCCGGUGCCUGCUGGGCCUCCCGGCACAGGCCAUGAUGCCCGGGGCGUCUGGGAAGGCCCAUGAGCCUCAGCUGGAGGCUGGGGCCCUGCUGCCGAGGCCCCCCUGAGAGCUCUGGGAGUGGACUACUGCAUUCCAUGAGAGCUUCAGCUGGACAUUUGGUGCCAAGGUUGAGGAAACCCUGUGCUUCUCCUUCAUACACAAAUCUGUCGUGAGCCUCAGGACGCCCCUCAUGUUGGACAAACUCAGAAAAGCACCUGGAGAGAAGGAGAGGCGCUGCUCAGGUCUCCAGGCCAGCUGCUGGGCGUCAGCUGCUGGGCUGUCCUGCAGAGCCGGGGCCUCCCACGCGCUCAGCCCCGGGCCACGGCGCUGGGUUCAUCGGAACGUCCCAGGUGAGCUCUCCUGAGCCCCUACAGGCUGCACCUGACUCCGUGCCAGGAGUCGGGAAGCUAGUGCCACCUGGCUCUAAGACACCAUGCAUGUCCUCGAGCUGGGGACUUCUUGAAGGCGGAUGCCAUGCUGCCUUGCUGGGUGGAGUGUGGAGGCCCUGUUCCCUUCCUGUACCACGGUGGCGGCUCCUCACAGCAUGUCUCUGGGGACCAGGCACCUUGGGAGAAACCCUUCCCCAGCUGGGAGACUGAGGGAGGAGUCGGGCAGUGUGACUGACCACCUGGACAUGGUGGGGUUCAGGCUGCCAUCUGCCAUGUGGUCUCCCUGAAACGGGCCUGGGUGUGAUCUGGACAGUGCUCUUGGGGCGUCUGGGGGGACUAGUGCUUCUAACAAGAGGAGGGGAGUGAGCCCGCAGCUUCAGAUGGACAGAGGAGCUGCUGCAGGCUUCCAGGAGCCAGCAGGGGACAGGGAGUGUGGGCAGCGGUGUCGGCCGGCCUUGCCCAGGGCACACCUGUCCUUCUAACACAGUGGCAACAGAGAACUCAGUUCAGAUGUGAGCAGCCAAGCUGGUGCUAGCCCCUUACCAGGGUCCGUCGUGUACGGUGCCUACGUCUUAAUUCUGGAAGCAGGGAGACUACAGACAGAUACUUCCAGAGCCUUCCAAUUUGUCCACUUUCCUGUCUCUCCUUCACACCCUCCCUGCCCGCACCCAUCCUCUAGAUCCUGGUAAAUUCCUGGCCACCCCAUCGGCAGGAGCAGGAACUCUGGAAGGCCGUGUGAGAGUGCCCUCUAGUGGCUGCACAGGCCAGCAGCAGGCAGCGAGGUGCAGGUCCAGGGAGGAGGAGAGGGUCCCCAGGAGGAAGAAAGAGCUGCCCAGGGGGCGCCCAGCGGGGCCAGGUGCACAGUGUGGGGCACGUGCUCCUGGCUGCGUCUUCCUCUGGGAGACGCCGCUCACUUCCAUCCGCACUCCUCCUGUCCUCUCAGGGCCUCCUUCUUCCUCAGCUAGGCUCCACGAAGACGGGAGGGUGGGUGACAGGUGAGUCCCCUGAGGGUCCGGUUUGGCCCCCACCACUGCGAAAAAGCACCUGCCCUUCUGCGUCUUCCGCCCAUCUCUGGGGUGGCGGAUGGGUCUGGCCGGGGGGCGUGGGCACAUGGUCCCUCCUCCGGGCCAUGCUUCUGGAAAUUGGGUCCCGUGUCAAGAAGACAAAUUCACAUAGUGACCCAGGACAUAGUUCGUCACCAAGAGGGGUGUGAGGUCUGAAUGCUGCGUUCCCUAUGCUGGGACAAACUGUCCCUUUCUUGAACAAGGGCAGCUGAGGCUGAGGUAUCACAAAUAAUUCCUAGGGGCCAAGGACCUGCAGAGACCUUUUCCAAAAGGACAGGAAGGGUGGCAACAGCAGCAGCACCCUGGGCCUCCCCUGGAGGGCAUCACACAGGCAGGGCUGCAGAGGGGACCCUGUCCCUUGGGGAGGGUUGCCAGAGAGAGGCUGCAGGGUGACAGAGACUUCUCCCCACACUCCAGGGACUGGUGCUCCCUGGAGCAAAGGGCCAGCUGCCCACGCACAGGUCAGCAAGCCCCGGAGAGGGACCUGUCAGCACAGGCGUGUGCUAGAGCCACCCCAGGAGCCCAGGAGGGCAGUGGCCAGCCUGAAGGUGCUCGGGGCUCACAGACUGGCUUCUCGGAGGACGGUGCUCUGAACAGCCAGUCACUGCCCGGUGGGCCCUGCAGGGAUCCUGACCCCCACAGGCAGCCGUGGAAGACGCGGUGCUGUCCCUGGGACAUGUCCUUCCCAUCUUGGUGUGCCCCGCCUGCGUGUCUGAUGUCUGUGUCGGCCCCGGCACUCCUGCCCACCACAGAAGGGCUGGGGGAGACAGGGAGGUCCAGAAACCACACUUCCCGUGUGCCCUUCCAGAAUACCAACGUCCCAGGGCCAGCUCUGCCGGCCACCGGGGUAAAGGGGAGGGGACACAAUUCAAGUGCACAGGAAUAUAGCAUUCCACUCUGACAACCAGUAGUGACCUGAAGGAGGCAUGUCACAAAAACUGGAGUCUCCAGGACUCAGGGAAGGCACCUUGCAGGCUGCCAAGGGCCCACUCCAGUGGACCUGUGCCAUGGCUGAGGCAGCCUAUCCUCCUGGGGUCCCCAAGUGCAGCUAGAAAGGUCCGUUCCCCAGAGGCCCUGGGUGGCCUGCGGUCAACAGAACCCUGAGUGCUGGGAGUCCCCCAGUGACCCCUGCACUGCUGAGAGGCCUCCUGCCUGGGCCUCUGUGACCAGUGUGACCGACAUGCACCGGUUUCCUCCCCCCCACUUCAAAUGCCUGCUGAUGGGGAGGAAGAUCCCAGCAAAUGGCAGGAAACCCUGGACUCCAACACAAGCACACACACCAACACACACGCACACGACUCACAACAACCUCGAAUCCCAGCACAUGCAUUAACACACAGGCACACGCAACAUACACUCAAUACACAAGCACACACAACAUACACUUAAUACACAAGCACACACAACAUGCAAUACCUAACACACCAACACACAAGCACACACAACACACAAACACUCAAUACACAAGCACACACAACACACAAUACACAAGCACACACAAUACAACAUACACUCAAUACCCAAGCACACACAACAUGCAAUGCCUAACACACCAACACACAAGCACACACAACACACAAACAAUACACAAGCACACACAACACAACAUACACUCAAUACCCAAGCACACACAACAUGCAAUGCCUAAUACACCAACACACAACACACAAACACUCAAUACACAAGCACACACAAACACACUCAAUACACAAGCACACACAACAUGCAAAUGCCUAACACACUGACAUACAAGCACACACAACACAAAACUAUCUCAAAUUCAAGCACAUGCAUUAACAUGCAAAGACACACAAGCACACACAACACACAAACACACUCAACCCACAAGCAUGCACAACACACAGAUGCCUAAACAGACAUUGACACAAGCACACAUAACACAGAAACCACAUACAUCAACGUGCAAGCACACAGCCCACAAACCAACUCAACAGGCAAGCAUACGCAUCAAUAUGCAGACACACGUCAACACACAAGAACACACCCCAACACGCAAGCACACACAUCAACACACAAGAACACACAACAAACAACCUCAACAUGCAAGCACAUGCAUUAACACACAAGUAUACACAGCACGCAAGCACACACAACUCACACACACACCACACACAAGCACACACAACACACAAAUACAUAAACACACAUCAAUACACAAGCACACACACACCAACACAUUAACACAGACACACACAUCAACAAAUAAACACAGAUGAACACACAGCACACACAUGGACACAGGAGUGACAGCAUACACCCUACUUCACAAGCACGUGACAUGAGCACACCCACACUGUCCUGCAGGUACCACCUUUUCUUUUUAAAGUCACACGUAUUUUAUUCAGCCUCACGCAGUGUCUUCUGAUUUAUGAUAAUUGUCCAUAAAAGCAAAAACACAGAGGAUUCUAACCCCGCAGUUUCUAGGCGUUAAUGGGCAUAAAAUUAUGCCGUAGUUUUUUCUGAAAAAAAGGGAGGGGAGUCCAAAGCACGUCCUCGUGUUGACCUCGGAGGGCACUGGACGGAGAGGCCGCCGAGAGCCUAACGUGACAGCCGCCCUGAAGCCGCGUGUGCCAGGAGCAGACCUGGGCAGUGGGCACCCCCGCGGGAUCCCGGUGAGCGCUGCCCGGAGGACUACGAGGGAGACUCAUUUCCAUAUCAAACCCGAUUUAGAUGAAACGUCUUGGUUAGGGAAAAAAAAAGCCAGUGUGCAUCAAUAGCCCCUUGAUUAGAUUUUCAUCUCCUGAGCAGACAAAUAUGAAUAUUUAUUACCAUGAAUGAGAUCUUUCCCUUUCCAUUGCUCUGAUCUUGAAUAUUAUCUAUUGCUAAUUUUUAUGAAAAUUUGGGCAACAUAAUGUUUUCACAUAAACUGACAGUUCUUGAGAUAAUCCCGUUAUUGUCUGGUUGGAAAUGACAGCUUCCGCUCAUUCAUGUGUUAACGAGGGAUUAAAUAUUGUUUUUCAUUCCCAUAAUCUAAGAUGGACUGGAAAUUAAAAAUCGAACAUUGUGUAUUAGCUGGGCUUUGAGGACCA
rnacentral:lncRNA from 1 species